GAUUGGACUCACCGAGCCCUAAACAAACAGCGCUAGCCGAAGGGUGCCAGGCUGUGGGUCGGAACUGCUCUCUACAAGCUGCUGGGUGCGGAGCUCACAAAAGGGAUUUCUUUCGACAAGCUGGACAUUGGAAGAAGGCUGCGAGAAGGGAAUUGAACAUGAGAAACACUCUUGUGGGAGUGGAUUCUUACAGGAACACCCCAGUCACUGUGGCUUCAGCGUGGCUGCAUUUAUGAAAGGCUGGAAGUAGAAAACUCUGGAAUGGAGAGACUAGCAGCUGGAACAGGAUUCAAAGGCUUUAAAUUUUAACCCGAGUUCGAUCGAAAGUUACUACCACAAGAGACUGGCACGGGCCGGCCCAAUUCCCACCACGGCUUCCAGCGGCUUGCUUUGGGUUGUCCGCUAGGCGUCGAAGACUAGAGAACACACUGACCCUGGCGCCUCUGGGACAGAGGUGAGGAGUUCGACCCAAACGAACAGAUUCGACAACAUUCGGACUCUAGAGGCUGGGGAAGAAACCCAUAAUUUUACCGUCCUCAUUCCCAAUCAUUUUAGUAGUGCCUCCAACCACAAGAAAACCGAUAGAUCAUUGUUUUUCCUUUCAGGGCUCAAAAUUCACCUUUUAAACUUUUUUUAAAGACUAGCUUUCCGAAAGAGGAAUAGGUUAGAGAAAUAUUUUUUUUUCCAUCUCAGUUAAUGUAAAAAUAAAACCUGUCCGGUUGACUAAGAC